rnacentral:rRNA from 1 species
CCUACGGGGUGCAGCAGUGAGGAAUAUUGGUCAAUGGACGAGAGUCUGAACCAGCCAAGUAGCGUGAAGGAUGACUGCCCUAUGGGUUGUAAGCUUCUUUUAUAUGGGAAUAAAAUGUUCCACGUGUGGGUUUUUGUAUGUACCAUAUGAAUAAGGAUCGGCUAACUCCGGGCCAGCCGCCGCGGUAAUACGGAGGGUCCGAGCGUUAUCCGGAUUUAUUGGGUUUAAAGGGAGCGUAGGUGGAUUGUUAAGUCAGUUGUGAAAGUUUGCGGCUCAACCUGAGAAUUGCAGUUGAAACUGGCAGGCUUGAGUACAGUAGAGGUGGGCGGAAUUCGUGGUGUAGCGGUGAAAUGCUUAGAGAUCACGAAGAAUACCGAUUGCGAAGGCAGCUCCCUGGAC